AUUGAACGCUGGCGGCAGGCCUAACACAUGCAAGUCGAACGAGGGGCGGACGGGUGAAUAAUGUCUGGGAAACCGCCUGAGGGAGGGGGAUCACUACUGGAAACGGUAGCUAAUACCGCAUACCAUCAGAUGUGCCCAUAUGGGAUUCGCUCGUUGGUGGGGUAAGGGCUCACCAAGGAUACGACCCCUAGCUGGUCUGAGAGGAUGACCAGCCACACGGGAACUGAGACACGGCCCAGACUCCUCCGGGAGGCAGCAGUGGGGAAUAUUGCACAAUGGGCGCAAGCCUGAUGCAGCCAUGCCGCGUGUAUGAAGAAGGCCUGCGGGUUGUAAAGUACUUUCAGCGGGGAGGCGUUACCCGCAGAAGAAGCACCGGCUAACUCCGUGCCAGCAGCCGCGGUAAUAC
rnacentral:rRNA from 1 species